UCAACAUAGGGUAUGUGUCUAACAAGGUAUGUGUCUAUCAACUGCUUCCUGUCCAUCUUUUCUCAGAAGAAAAUAUUCUCUCUGCCUCCAUGUAAUUCCUUGAGAUUUAGAUUGUCCUGAUUUGACUUUCCAGGUAUCCAAUUUCCUUCCAUUCUCCUCGUUUAUCCAACCAAAGCAAAUUCACUCUCUGAUUCCUUCCCUACCAGAAAAACUCAAUUAAGCUGCCGAUUUGAACACUGAGAAAAAAAAUCGGUUUGUUUCUCUUCAAUGGUGUUUCGCUCCAUAUCUGCAACCCACCCAAACACAACCAAUAUUGUUAUGGCUUCUUCUACUACUGUCAAACCACACCAGCCACUCCAUAACUUUCCUCUACAAGACCUUAAAUGGUCAAUGAACCCUUCCAACAACGCCACCAACCACCACCGCUUUCGCUCCAACAAAUCUCCUCACCGGGAUGCUGCUGCUGCUGACUCGGACGGAGACGGCGGGGUAAAGGUUGAGAAGUUAUCGAAGCAAAAAUCUGAUGAUGCUGAGACUUUGGAGAAGAAAUCGAAGAUCUUUAUUCGUUUGAGGACCAACAAAAAUAGCAGCGGUAGCAGUAGCAGCAAGUGCAUGGUUGAUGAUGUGGCUGCGGAUGCAGGGGAUCUGGACUCUGCUGCUGUAGUGGAGGAUGUGGAGGAGUCGAUACCGAAGACGUGGAAUCUGAGGCCGAGGAGAGCCGUUAAUAAGGGUUUGAAUGGGAGCGGAGGUGCUGUGAAGAUUGGUGGAGGCGCGGUGCAAGAGAUCAAAUCUCAGGUGACAAGUAGUAAUCGGAGUGAAUGGACUCGGUCGAACCGGAAUGGUAAUGAUGCUACUAACUAUGACAACAACAACAACAACAACAACAACAAGGAGAAAGAGAAGGAAAAGGAAAAGGAGAAGAAGUUGAGGUUUUCGAUUCCUCUUACUAGAGAGGAAAUUGAAGAAGAUAUUUAUUCCUUGACUGGGUCAAAGCCCGCGAGAAGGUCAAAGAAGAGAGCUAAGCAUGUGCAAAAACAACUUGAUUGCUUGUUUCCAGGCAUGUGGCUGGCUUCGAUCACCCCGGAAUGUUACAAGGUUCAUGAAGCUCCUUCAAAGUUGAGAAUGUAGUUCUCCUGCUCUGCAGGGUUAAAGAAUUGACUGGGAGUUUGGAGGUGAUGACUGUUGAACUCUUUUGACAUCAGCUGAAAUCAAUUUAGCAUAUACAUGAUCCCGUGAAGAUGAAAGGUUGGAUCUAACUGCAUGCAUAUUGGACUGCUUCUGAGAUUGCUGUGAGGAGGAUGAGUGGUAAUUAUUGCUGUCUUGUUGAUUAUAAACUUUAUUUUAGAACUUCAUUUCCUGCCAACAUAUUUUCUUUUCCUGCAUUUCAAAGGUUUGAAUUUUUAGGAUUUUUUUUGUACUGUGAGCCUAGGAACUGUUUUAUGAGUUUGGUUCUGCUUUUUGUGAUGGGGUUGUGUAUGUGGUGGUGGCUUUUCAGGCAUAAGCUCUCUGCAUGCAAAACUUCAGUUGCCACGGGUCCAGUUAGAAUUGUUAGACAGGAGAGCUUUUGAAUUUUAUGGUUUAUACGUUAUCUACAAUUAAAUGUAAUAAAGCAUACUGGCUGUGGAGGAGAGGCAUACACAGCUUUAAGUCCAGUGCAUACAAGUGAAUGCAUCGGAUGGUUUGCCAAAGCCUGCUGAUGUCUCUCUGGGCUGCAGCAUAGGAUCUUGCCAAUCACAAAUGGAGUCUGGGCUGCUUUUGUGCCUUCCGUAGCAGACGACUACAGAUGGGAACAGAGCUGUGCCCAGCUUGCGUGCACGUUGAUUGUUUGUUUGCUAUUGGUAUUGAAUGGAAAAUUAGAUGCUGUUAUCAGUGGCUGGGAGAUUAAAACACGGAGACAUCCAUCCGAAGUGAGUGUUCCUGUGGUAUUGAUCUUGUGUGCCUUCUUGUCAUAAGAAUCUGUUUCUGCUUGAGAUUAUUUGUAUGUAGAAUGAUACUUCUCCAAUUUUUAAAGACCUUGUCCGAGAGAUUCUAUCACUAUAUGUCCAACAUUGAUGGAACUUAACUUGGAAAAUUUCAACCCUGUUAUAGGUUUUUUCUUACAAA